AGUACGAGCACCAGCAGUCUAGAUACCGGAGGAUGCCAAUCGCGUUUCCAAGCCCAAUAAAUCAAAUUUUGAUGUGCACAUCUGUUCAAAAUCAUCGCUUUAUUCCAUUGUAUUUUUUUUCUCAGGCUGUCUGCAGUGAAGCUCGGAUAAGAUUUUUUUUUUUUUUCUUCAAAUCUUAUCCCUUGCCAUAUGGUAUGCUGUGACAAGAUGUAAUAAGCAUUUAACAAGUUGGAGAUGAUGCUAGGUGACAUUUGCACUGAUUGUGAUAACUGUUCAUGCUUCCACUUCAGAGGCAGGGUACAGAAUUUUGGCAGGGAGGGAAGUCAGCACAAAACAGCAACCUAGAUAAGACAAAUGAUAUAUCUCUGAAUAACAUGGAGAGAAAAUGUACGUCCUGAUAUAGCAGUAGGUCCACUGCUUGCCAUUCUCCAGUCCUCGCUUAGUUGAAGCGCCUUUGAUCCCUUUCACUCCAGAGCUGGAGGAAGGACAGCAUAUCUGAUGUGAGCCUGGACUGAGGUCCUUAACACUCUCUCUGGGAUAUAUUUACAACUUUGUGACCUCACAUGGCAUCUCCACUAUGCCUGUGAAAAGCAGUGCUAAAAUCCUUGGCGCUAUUCACAUUUGCCCUACAGGCAGCUCCGCAACUGUAGUCAAACUUACUCUGGAGGCAUCCAUCACUUAGUGACACGCGAGUGGACAAAAUUUUCCCCUGAUGACUGCUCCCCUCGUUGAGUGACAUUUGACUAAAGCUGAUAACACGAUGGAAAGUUUCACCCUGGAUUACGUCCCACUUGCUGAACUUUCUGAAGCAAUUAAAAGUAUGCAGGUAGUACAAGAGCAGAUAACAGAGAUGCAAAACGGCCACCAUCUUUCACCAUGCUUUCACGCUGUGAUGGAAGUUAUUUUUCUUUCUCACUUUCAGUGGAGCAGAGUGACCAGGGAUGAUGAGAAAACACUCAUCUGCGCUUGUUUUCAAUCACCAGGCAUUUAUUUCAUGAACAACAGUUCCUCUCUGACAAGAGCAAUAUGGAUGAAAAGUUGAUUACAGUUAUUUAAAGGUUUCCAUCUUUCUACAGCUUUGAUUGGAAGCACUACAGGAGUAAAUGUUACAUAAAAGAACAUGCUUGAAUAAAUACUAGACCCAUCGAUCAUUAGGGUCGAUACUGAGCUCUGAGGCGAUUUUACUUUCUUCAGCUUGUGAUUAAUGCCACUGAUAUUUUCUUUUUUUCCCCUCUUUUUUUUUUUUCUUUUUUUUUUUCCACUGAUAUUUUCUACUCAAAUCAAAGAGGCAACACAUAAAACAUCCUAUAUUGUAUACUUACAACAGAGUCUUUUGCACAUCUGCAAUUAAAUUAUAGGAAUUUUCCACUGUCACUGCUGUGUGCACCAAACAGUUGCUCACACACUCUAAAUGGUAACAAAGGCUUGGCUGGACAAAACAUCCUGCUAUUGUCUGAAUGUUUGGCUUGUCUCAAAAAGAAAGAUGAAGGAUGAGAUUUGGUGGGGGGAAAAAAAGAAAAAUUCUUUUCAGCAGCUGUCUCGUCCAUUUGUUGGGGUCAGACCUCUAGCUUUUAUAUUCAGCCUCCGCUCCAAUCUCAUGUCUUCCCACUGACAAGUCUAACACUUUGUGGCUCGUGGAAUUUGCUACAGAUGAGAACUAGCAUGUAGCACACGUUUACGCCAUGCCUAUGCCC
ensembl:lncRNA